rnacentral:misc_RNA from 1 species
GAUGAAGAACGUAGCGAAAUGCGAUAAGUAAUGUGAAUUGCAGAAUUCAGUGAGUCAUCGAAUCUUUGAACGCACAUUGCGCCCGCCAGUAUUCUGGCGAGCAUGCCUGUUCGAGCGUCAUUUCAACCAUCAAGCCCCAGGCUUGUGUUGGAGCCCUGCGGCUGCCGCAGCCUCCCAAAACCAGUGGCGGGCUCGCUAUCACACCGAGUGCAGUAGUUUACUCUUCGCUCAGGGCGUGUGGCGGGUGCUAGCCGUGAAACCCCCAACUUCUCAAGGUUGACCUCGGAUCAGGUAGGAAUACCCGCUGAACUUAAGCAUAUCAAUAAGCGGAGGA